AACGAACGCUGGCGGCAGGCUUAACACAUGCAAGUCGAACGCCCCGCAAGGGGAGUGGCAGACGGGUGAGUAACGCGUGGGAAUCUACCUAGUUCUACGGAACAACAGAGGGAAACUUCUGCUAAUACCGUAUACGCCCUAAGGGGGAAAGAUUUAUCGGAAUUAGAUGAGCCCGCGUAAGAUUAGCUAGUUGGUGGGGUAAUGGCCUACCAAGGCGACGAUCUUUAGCUGGUCUGAGAGUAUGAUCAGCCACACUGGGACUGAGACACGGCCCAGACUCCUACGGGGGGCAGGGGAGUGGAAUAUUGGACAAUGGGCUGAAGCCUGAUCCAGCCAUGCCGCGUGAGUGAUGAAGGCCUUAGGGUUGUAAAGCUCUUUCAGUGGGGACGAUAAUGACGGUACCCACAGAAGAAGCCCCGGCUAACUUCGUGCCAGCCGCCGCGGUAAGAC
rnacentral:rRNA from 1 species